UACGGAGGGUGCGAGCGUUAAUCGGAAUCACUGGGCGUAAAGGGCGCGUAGGCGGUUAGUUACGUCUGCCGUGAAAUCCCCGGGCUCAACCUGGGAAUGGCGGUGGAAACGGGCGGACUAGAGUAUGGGAGAGGGUGAUGGAAUUCCAGGUGUAGCGGUGAAAUGCGUAGAGAUCUGGAGGAACAUCAGUGGCGAAGGCGGCCACCUGGCCCAAUACUGACGCUGAGGCACGAAAGCGUGGGGAGCAAACAGG
rnacentral:rRNA from 1 species